CGGGGUUUCACCAUGUGAGCCAGGAUGCUCUCCAUCUCCUGACCUCAUGAUCCGCCCGCCUCGGCCUCCCAAAGUGUUGGGAUUACAAGCGUGAGCCACUGCGCCCGGACUGGAGCUUUUACAAUUUUAACUCCUUAAGGUACAUGUAGAAACCAUAAGUGGAACACUGUAUUAACUGAAUAUCAUUGAGAAACUUCAAGCAAACAUGUUACUGAUAUAAAUUAAAGAAUAAUUGAAAAGGAAAAGACCUCCUUCCUUUUUUCCCCAAAAGGUAAAUGUGUUUUCUUAUAGCUUUAACUACUUGCUGUAAAAUUAAAUGCUUUUAAUUUCUGAUACAAGGGAGCAGAAUACGAUGUUAAUAUUUUCUGUAUGUCUUUUGAUAUUAAUAAUGCAUUGAAAAUAUCUGCAACAUUAAAAUUCUUUCUGUGGGCUUUUUGUGAAUGCUAUUAUGUCAAGCCAUUAAUUGUGCACUUUUCCAAAAGCAGGCAACCUAUCCUGCUAGCUCUUGAAUCAUAUUGUGAAAGCAUAAUUGUAUUCUGUGCAUUCUUGGUUGACAUUAAAAUGGUCUGUUAGUUGUGUCUAGCAGAAUGUCUUCCUUUCUGAAUUAUGUAUUUAGAUAAACUUAUCCAACAACUUCAGAGCAACAUUGUGUUCCUGUCCUCCCAUCUGUAUGUAAGAGUAAAAACUAAGAGGUAGGUUUACUAAUUGGUUAAAAUAUCUUCUUCUCCACAUGUCUUAAAAUAUGAAUAAAAACAUGUAUGAAAAGAACAUUUCACAAAUGACUAUUUCAUACUUAAAGGCAUAUUUGGAAAUCUUAGAUAGUCCAGCAAGGACAACUAUGUAACUGUUACUGAACAUUGGAGUAUAUAAUAGUGAAUUAUAGCUGUCCAAAUAUCACCUAUGUCUGACUAUUGAUCUUUUUAUCUGCCUCUAGUUCUCAAGACUUCAAUUCUUCUCAAUAGCAACAUAUUUUUCAAAUAAUUUAUCUGCAAAAAUUUCCAUGAAUUUUUAAAUUUUAUUAGAACCUAAUAAUUAUUACCUCUUUUGAAUUUUCUCAUAAGGCCUCUAUAAUAUGGCCUUUUCCCUGCUUCAAUUUAUUCCCUGG
rnacentral:lncRNA from 10 species